ACCCAUCUUUUUAUUACUCUAUUUGUUAAUUAAAGAGAUGAUUUACCAAACAAAUAAAUAAAGAGUCGAUACUAAUAUAAUUUGAAUCGGAGUUCAUCUCAUCGCUUGGUGUUCAAUCGAAGUUAUCAACUUUUUACGAAUUGUUUAAACUCUGAAAAAGAGAGAGGAUGCCGAGUCAAAGAUGGAGACUUUCAGGAUUCAAUUGCGAAAUCACCACCAACAUCUCAACGAGGGGCUCGGGCUCGUGUUCAGUCUUUGUUCACAACGGAGAUGUGACGAUCAGAAUGUCCAGCAGUGAGGGCGUGGCAGAGAUCAGGCGACAGAAUGUGGGUGGCGUGAAGCGUGUUUCUUCCAUCCAUGCCCCACCAACAGUCAAGAUCUCAAAGGCACACAUUCGUGAGGCUUCCACCUGUGCCAUCUGCAAAGACAGAUUCGAGCUGGGCUCUCAAGUGAGGAAGCUUCCAUGCAAACAUCUCUACCACUCCGACUGCAUCAUGCCGUGGCUCGAACAAAACAGCUCCUGCCCUGUUUGCCGCCACCCCGUCACUAGCAGGAAGACCACAAGGAGCCCGCGCACUAGUCAGCAAGGAGCGGAGCAAAGCACAAGAGCGGCUGAACCAACACGGAGCCGUUGGUCUUUCUUGUUGCCGUCUUGUUUCGUUAGCUAAGCUAAGGCCUUUCAAUUUCAGUGAAUCGUUUCUGUUUGUUAAUGGUCCUCUCCUAGUCCUAGUGUUUGAACGAAUAAGUACACUUGCAAUGCUACUUUUUGGCUGGAGAAUUUGUUUAACUA